AGUGAACGCUGGCGGUAGGCCUAACACAUGCAAGUCGAACGGCAGCACAGUAAGAGCUUGCUCUUACGGGUGGCGAGUGGCGGACGGGUGAGGAAUACAUCGGAAUCUACUUUUUCGUGGGGGAUAACGUAGGGAAACUUACGCUAAUACCGCAUACGACCUACGGGUGAAAGCAGGGGAUCUUCGGACCUUGCGCGAUUGAAUGAGCCGAUGUCGGAUUAGCUAGUUGGCGGGGUAAAGGCCCACCAAGGCGACGAUCCGUAGCUGGUCUGAGAGGAUGGUCAGCUACUCUGGAACUGAGACACGGUCCAGAAGCCUAAGAGAGGCAGCAGUGGGGAAGAUUGGACAAUCAGCGAAAGCCUCAGCCAGACAUACCGUGUCGGUGAAGAAGGCCUUCGGGUUGUAAAGACCUUUUGUUGGGAAAGAAAGGCAGCAGGUUAAUACCGUGCUGUUAUGACGGUACCCAAAGAAUAAGCACCGGCUAAAUUCGUG
rnacentral:rRNA from 1 species